CGAACGCUGGCGGCGCGUUUAAGCAUGCAAGUCGAGCGGCAAGGGCCUUCGGGCCCUAGAGCGGCGGACGGGUGAGUAACACGUGGACAAUCUGCCCCCCGGCCCGGGAUAGCCCAGGGAAACCUGGAUUAAUACCGGAUGAGACGGGACCCGCGAUGGCGGGAUCCGGGAAAGGCGCUGCGGCGCCGCCGGGGGAUGAGUCUGCGUCCCAUUAGCUAGACGGCGGGGUAACGGCCCACCGUGGCGACGAUGGGUAGCCGGCCUGAGAGGGUGGACGGCCACAUUGGAACUGAGACACGGUCCAGACUCCUACGGGAGGCAGCAGCUAAGAAUCUUCCGCAAUGGGCGAAAGCCUGACGGAGCCGACGCCGCGUGAACGAAGAAGGCCGUGAGGUUGUAAAGUUCUUUUCGGGAGGGGAACAACCGUGGCAGGGAAUGGCCGCGGGAUGACGUGAAUCCCGGAAUAAGCCCCGGCUAACUACGUGCCAGCCGCUGC
rnacentral:rRNA from 1 species